GAGACCGUGCCUUCUGGUCUCUGCAGGAAGUGGGCGAGAGAGGCUUGAGAAGAGGGGUCAUCAGUGCCUCUUCCUGCUUGGCUCUACGGGGAUCUCACAGUCAGAGUGGCUCUGCAUCAGAAAUGACCCUUUAGAUGUGUCAAAAAGAAACAGGGGAUGCUGCUCAUUGGGCACGCCAGGCGUGCCAAUGUCCCUCCAGGUUUUUCUGCCCACAGACCUGACCUACCUCAUUAAGGGAACCCACAGACGUGCCAAAGAUAUUCUGUAUAGCUUCUUUCCUGUGCCUGGUAUUGUCUUGGUUUUUCUCUGGGCAUUUCACUGAAAAGAAUGAUAUUUGGGUAUAUAUACAGAGGCACUAGAUAUGUUACAACUGCAAUUGAUUCCAGUAUUAAUUUGUUGUGUUUUUAACGCCUUUUAUUCUAUACAGAAGUACUGUAGCUCCUGUAUCAGACCUGGAUGUAUUUUUUCAAGAUCACUUCAUUAAGCAUUUCCUUCUAAGCUGUGAGGAAAUUGGAGCACCUGGUAAAAGCUCUCCUGAACCACUGACGAACAUGCAGACUCCAUGCAGUGCCAGUAAACCGUUCUGAAGAAUUCAACUGGGCAGAGAAGUGAAUUUGGGCAGCCACAGCUCAAAACGCAUGUUCAUCACCAGAAUGCUGCUAUCCACCCCUUCUUCUCUUGUCCAAAGUGGCCUAUGGCUGGAGAAAAUGUCUGUUGAUUAGUUUCAUCAGCAUAGGAAUAUUCAGAGAGUAAUGACUGCAACUGUCAUUAAAAAUCAGCAACUGUGUCUAACCUAUAGAAGGUGGCGUAUAUUUCUAAUGAUAUUUUCUUCAACACAUCUGUUAAAAUAUGUUAAAUGUAUGGCGCAUUGUAAACGUAUUCAAGUUAAUAAAUCCAUUAAUGACAGGGAUAAGAGAAUUAAGGAGCUUAAACAAAUAAAUGUGGCAGGAAGUUUCAUUCUUCUAAUUAUAUUUAGGUUAUUCUAGUUUUAUCUACUUCCGAAAGUUGUUUUCACUUCCAGACGACCGCAACCUGAAUUACAUUUGUCAUUACAAGCCUCAAUGACAUACUUUAAGUCUCUGAAGACACUGCUUAGGAGAAUCCAAGGAGUUUACUUUUUACAUAAAGGUGGACUUCAAAAGAAUGAGUAAAUAUCUCAUAUCCUGCGCUGACGUACAUAAUCUGCAGUUAUGAGAACCUCAUAG